rnacentral:rRNA from 1 species
GACGAACGCUGGCGGCGUGCCUAAUACAUGCAAGUCGAACGCAGUGGGGACGGGUGAGUAACACGUGGGUAACCUCCCAUCAGAGGGGAUAACACUUGGAAACAGGUGCUAAACCGAUAUUGGUGUAUGGACCCGCGGGGCAUUAGCUAGUGGGUGAGGUAACGGCUCACCAAGGCCACGAUGCAUAGCCGAGCGUAGAGGAGGAUCGGCCACACUGGGACUGAGACACGGCCCAGACUCCUACGGGAGGCAGCAGUAGGGAAUCUUGGGCAAUGGACGAAAGUCUGACCGAGCAACGCCGCGUGAGUGAAGAAGGUUUUCGGAUCGUAAAGCUCUGUUGUUAGAGAAGCGUUAUCUAAACAGAAAGCCACGGCUAACUACGUGCCAGCCGCCGCGGUAAUAC